rnacentral:rRNA from 1 species
UACGUAGGGUGCGAGCGUUGUCCGGAAUUAUUGGGCGUAAAGGGCUCGUAGGCGGUCUGUUGCGUCAGGAGUGAAAACUCGGGGCUUAACCCCGAGCCUGCUUCUGAUACGGGCAGACUAGAGGUAUGCAGGGGAGAACGGAAUUCCUGGUGUAGCGGUGGAAUGCGCAGAUAUCAGGAGGAACACCGAUAGCGAAGGCAGCUCGCUGGGACGGUACUGACGCUGAGGUGCGAAAGCGUGGGGAGCGAACAGG